rnacentral:lncRNA from 1 species
GAGGAGGAGGAGGGAGUGGAGCGGCGGGAAAGAUCCCUCUGACUGCCCCUGAGGCCCUGGAGGAAGGACACUGAUAACAGAUAGGCCAGGUGUGGUGGCUCACACCUGUAAUCCCAGCACUUUGGGAGGCCGAGGCGGGCAGAUCACAAGUUCAGGAGUUCGAGAACAGCCUGGCCAACAUGGUGAAACCCCAUCUCUACAAAAAAUACAAAAAUUAGCCAGGUGUGGUGGCAUGUGCCUGUGCCUGUAAUCCUAGCUUUCGGGAGACUGAGGGAGAAGAAUCACUUGAACCGGGGAGGUGGAGGUUGCAGUGAGAUUGUACUCCAGCCUGGGCAACAGAGCAAGACUGUCUCAAAAAAAAAAAAAAAAAAAAAGAUUAUAGAUAAACCAGUGCUCUGAGGUGCUUUUCGGCUCUUUAAAAAGCAUUACUGGGCCAGGCGCGGUGGCUCAUGCUUGUAAUCUCAGUGCUUUUGCAGGCUGAGGUGGGCGGGAUCACCUGAGGUCAGAAGUUCGAGAUAAGCCUAACCAACACGGAGAAACCAUGUCUGUACUAAAAAUACAGAAUUAGGCGGGCGUGGUAGCACAUGCCUGUAAUCCCAGCUACUUGAGAGGCUGAGACAGGAGAAUCACUUGAACCCGGGAGGUGGAGGUUGUGCUGAGUGGAGAUCACACCACUGCCCUCCAGCCUGGGAAACAAGAGCGAAACUCCAUCUCAAAAAAAAAAAAAAAAAAAAAAUUGCGAGGCGCGGUAGCUCACGCCUGUAAUCCCAACACUUUGGGAGGCCAAGGCGGGCGGAUCACCAGAGAUCGGGAGUUCGAGACCAGCCUGACCAACAUGGAGAAACCCCGUCUCUACUAAAAAUACAAAAUUAACCAGGCAUGGUGGCACAUGCCUGUAAUCCCAGCUACUAGGGAGGCUGAGGCAGGAGAAUCGCUUGAACCCAGGAGGCGCAGGUUGCGGUGAGCCGAGAUCGUGCCAUUGCACUCCAGCCUGGGCAAGAAGAGUGAAACUCUCAAACAAAAAAAAAAGCAUUACUGGCCAGGCGUCGCAGCGGCUCAUGCCUGUAAUCCCAACACUUUGGAAGGCCGAGGCUGGCGGAUCACAAGGACAGGUGUUGGAGACCAGCCUGACCAACAUGGUGAAACCGGUCUCUACUAAAAAUAGAAAAAUUAGCUGGGCGUGGUGGUGGACGCCUGUAAUCCCAGCUACUCAGGGGGCUGAGGCAGGAGAAUCGCUUGAACCCGGGAGGCGGAGUUUGCAGUGAGCCGAGAUUGAGCCACUGCACACUCCAGCCUGGGCAACAAGAGCGAGACUCAGUCUCAGAAAAAAUAAAUAAAUAAUAAAAUAAAAAGCAGGCCGGGUGCGAUGGUUCACACCUAUAACACCAGCACUUUGGGAGGCCGAGGUGGGCGGAUCACGAGGUCAGGAAUUCGCCACCAGCCUGGCCAACAUGGUGAAACCCCGUCUCUACUAUAAAUACAAAAAUUAGUGGCUGGGGGCAGUGGCUCAUGCCUGUAAUCCCAGCACUUUGAGAGGCUGAGGCGGGAGGAUCACGAAAUCAGGAGAUCGAGACCAUCCUGGCUAACACAGUGAAACCCCGUCUCUACUAAAAAUACAAAAAAAAAAAAAAAAAUUAGCCGGGCGCAGUGGCAGGCGCCUGUAGUCCCAGCUACUCAGGAGGCUGAGGCAGGAGAAUGGCGUGAACCCGGGAGGCGGAGCUUGCGGUGAGCCAAGAUCGCACCACUGCUCUCCAGCCUGGGUGACACAGCGAGACUCCGUCUCAAAAAAAAAAAAAAAAAUUAGGCGUGGUGGUGCGCGUCUGUAAUCCCAGCUACUCCAGAGGUUGAGGCAGGAGAAUCGCUUAAACCCGGGAGGCGGAGGUCACAGUGAGCCGAGAUCAUGCCACUGCACUCCAGCCUGGGCGACAGAGCAAGAUUCUGUCUCGAAU